rnacentral:rRNA from 1 species
AGUGAACGCUGGCGGUAGGCCUAACACAUGCAAGUCGAACGGCAGCACAGUAAGAGCUUGCUCUUACGGGUGGCGAGUGGCGGACGGGUGAGGAAUACAUCGGAAUCUACUUUUUCGUGGGGGAUAACGUAGGGAAACUUACGCUAAUACCGCAUACGACCUACGGGUGAAAGCAGGGGAUCUUCGGACCUUGCGCGAUUGAAUGAGCCGAUGUCGGAUUAGCUAGUUGGCGGGGUAAAGGCCCACCAAGGCGACGAUCCGUAGCUGGUCUGAGAGGAUGAUCAGCCACACUGGAACUGAGAAACGGUCCAGACUCCUACGGGAGGCAGAAGUGGGGAAUAUUGGACAAUGGGCGCAAGCCUGAUCCAGCCAUACCGCGUGGGUGAAGAAGGCCUUCGGGUUGUAAAGCCCUUUUGUUGGGAAAGAAAAGCAGCAGGUUAAUACCCCGCUGUUCUGACGGUACCCAAAGAAUAAGCACCGGCGAACUUCGU